rnacentral:rRNA from 1 species
AUUAUAGGGCAUUUAGUGGAUACCUAGACAAAAGUUUAAAUGGACGUAGUGAGUUGCGAUAAGCCAAAUGGAAUGUCUCUAACCAUGAUGAUAUUUGGAUCUCCAAAGAGAAAACUCGAAAUUUCUAGAAAACGUAGUGAAUUGAAACAUCUUAGUAGCUAUAGGAAAGGAAAUCAACCGAGAUUCCGAAAGUAUUGGCGAAAGAAAUCGGAAUAGGCCAAAGUUUUAUUUAUUCUAUUUUUUGUUUUGAAAGAUUUGGAAAAGUCUGUCAGAGAAGGUAAUAACCCUGUAUUAACAAAAAAUAUUGAAUAAGUUUUAUAUAAAACUGAAUUUGAGUAGAACAAACAUCGUCUUUGUUCGAAGAAUGGAAGGACCAUCUUCCAAGCCUAAGUAUCAACUUUUGAUCGAUAGUGAACAAGUACCGUGAGGGAAAGGUGAAAGAAUCUGAAAUAUUUUUGAAACUGAAUGCUUACAAGCACUAAGAGCUUUCUAUGAAAUUAGAGAGUGAUUGGGUGCCUUUUGCAUAAUGAGUCAAUGACUAAACAAUUAUCUCGCUUAGCUUAAGCUGUCAAGUGUAGGCGUUUUUAAAUAUGUUACCUUCUUUGGUGCGACAUUGAAGAUGAACAAAGGUGAGUAUUGUUUGACCCGAAACCGAGUGAUCUUAUCAUGAUCAGGUUGAAGAAAUGAUAAUACAUUUUGGAGGACCGAAUUCGUAUCUGUUGCAAUAGAUUGAAAUGAAUUGUGAUAAGGAGUGAAAGACUAAUCGUACUCGGAGAUAGCUGGUUUUCUGCGAAAUCUAUUUAGGUAGAGUGGAUAUAUAAAUGCGCGAGAGCAUGGGGUAGAGCACUUUUUAAGUGAGGGUGGCCCAAAGCCUUACUGAAUUUAAGAAAACUCCGAAUACAUGGAUCUCUGUGACGUAUCUAAACAGACUCUUCGCGAUAAGGUGUGGAGUCGAAAGGGAAACAGCCCAGCCCGCUGGUUAAGGUUCCAAAGCAUUAUCUUAGUGAGAAAGGGAGUGAUCAGGCUUUGACAACUAGAAAAUAGGCUUGGAAGCAGCCAUUUAUUAAUGAAAGCGUAAUAGCUCACUGGUCUAUGCUUGAUUGCACUUAAAAUGUAACGGAGCUCAAGAUAAACACCGAAACCGCGGUUGUAAUAAUUUUUUUAAAUGAAACCUUUUAUAGGUAUUAUAAGGUAGCAGAACGUUCUGUAAGUCAGUGAAGAUAAUAUGUAAAUAUUAUUGGAGAUAUCAGAAGUGAAAAUAUUGACAUGAGUAACGAUAAAUCAUGUGAAAUUCAUGAUCGCCGUAAGCCCAAGGUUUUCUACAAAGUAUAGCUUGGUGUAGAGUAAAUCGGUCCCUAAGGUUAUAUAAAACCAAUAUAAUUGAUGGGUUUAAGGGUUUAAUAUUCCUUAAUUUUUAUUUUAUGACAGAUUUUCUUCUAAAAUAAUGUAAUUUAAAAUUACAAUGAAAAUAAAAAGGAUAUUUUUUUAUUUUGGAAAAGGUCUCUGGAAACUGUAAAAUAAUUAAUAAAACCGUACCGCAAACCGACUCUGGUGGGCUAGUGUAAUUGUACUAAGGCGAAGAGUGACCCACGUUUAAGGAACUCGGCAAAUUAUAUCCGUAACUUCGGGAAAAGGAUAGCCUUUUUAUAGGCAGCAUAAAAUUAGGAGCGACGACUGUUUACCAAAAACACAGAACUCGGCUAAGCUAGUUAGCGAUGUAUCGGGUUUGACGUCUGCCCAGUGCUGGAGAAUAAGAGGAAAAGUUAGAUUAAGUUCGAAGCUUCUAAUUAAAUAUUCAGUAAACGGCGGCCGUAACUAACGGUCCUAAGGUAGCGAAAUUCCUUGUCAGGUAAGUUCUGACCUGCAUGAAUGACGUAACGAUUGCUCCGCUGUCUCAAACGUGGACUCAGUGAAAUUGAAUUCUUCGUGCAGAUGCGAAGUUCCUGAACAUAGACGAGAAGACCCUAUGCACCUUUACUGUAAUAAUGUACAGAAGAAUUAUGUAAAUUGUGUAGCGAAAGUGGUUGAUUUCAUUUUUGAAAUCGCUCCCUGAAACCCCACUCGUUUUACAUAAGUUUUCUCAGCUUUGAGAUUCAAAGUAACAAUGCAUUAAUGACAGUUUGGCUGGGGCGGCCAGUUUCUAAAGUGUAACGAAAGUGUACGAAGGUAAGUUCGUAUUAGUCGGAAAUUAAUACUAAGAGCGUAAUAGCAAUACUUGCUUAACUGUGAUAUUGACAGGUAGAACAGAAACGAAAGUUGGUUAUAGUGACCCAGGAGUUCUGAAUGGAAAGGCUCCUGCUCAACGGAUCAAAGGUACGCUAGGGAUAACAGGUUUAUGACUUCUGAGAGAUCUUAUCGACGAAGUUGUUUGACACCUCGAUGUCGGCUCAUCACAACCUUGAGCUGUAGCAGGUUCAAAGGGU